rnacentral:rRNA from 1 species
AAUCAACGCUGGCGGCGUGCCUAACACAUGCAAGUCGAACGCGAAAGCCCGCAAGGGUAAGUAGAGUGGCGCACGGGUGAGUAACACGUGGACAACCUGCCUUCGAGUGGGGAAUAACCUUCCGAAAGGAGGGCUAACACCGCAUAACACCUCGGGACACAAGUUUUGGGGUUGAAAAGAGCAAUUUGCUCGAAGAGGGGUCCGCGCCUGAUUAGCUAGUUGGUGAGGUAACGGCUCACCAAGGCUUCGAUCAGUAGCCGUCCUGAGAGGGAGCACGGCCACACUGGAACUGAGACACGGUCCAGACUCCUACGGGAGGCAGCAGUGGGGAAUUUUUGGCAAUGGGCGAAAGCCUGACCAAGCAACGCCGCGUGGGUGAUGAAGUAUCUUGGUACGUAAAACCCUUUCGGCAGGGACGAACCUAAUGACGGUACCUGCGGAAGAA